UCAAGCUAAAAAGAGCGCAAGGGGAAUGCCUUGGCAUCAGGAGCCGACGAAGGACGUGACAAGCUGCGAUAAGCUACGGUGAGGAGCAAAUAUCCUGUGACCCGUAGAUUUCCGAAUGGGGCAACCCGGCUGGACAAUAUCCAGUCAUCCUGCAUUGAAUCAAAUAGGUGUAGGAAGGGAACCGCCUGAACUGAAACAUCUAAGUAGGGCGAGGAAAAGACAUCAACCGAGAUUCCGCUAGUAGUGGCGAGCGAACGCGGAAGAGGCCAAACCGGAGGAUUUAUUCUCCGGGGUUGCGGACAGCUAUACGGAACAAUAGUUUAGCCGAACGGUCUGGGAAGGCCGGUCACAGAGGGUGAGAACCCCGUAGGCGAAAGACGAAUUGUUUCAGGCUGGAUCCAGAGUACCGCAGGACACGUGAAACCCUGUGGGAAACAGGGGGGACCACCCUCCAAGCCUAAAUACUACCUGAUGACCGAUAGAGGAGCAGUACCGUGAGGGAAAGGUGAAAAGGACCCCGGGAGGGGAGUGAAAGAGAACCUGAAACCUUGUGCUUACAAGCAGUCAGAGCACGUUAACGUGUGAUGGCGUACUUUUUGUAGAACGGUCCGGCGAGUUAUAGUAACGAGCAAGCUUAAGGUAUUGAGUACCGGAGGCGAAGCGAGAGCGAGUCUGAAUAGGGCGUAAAGUUCGUUGCCAUAGACCCGAAACCGGGUGACCUAUCCAUGAGCAGGCUGAAGUGAGAGUAAAAUCUCAUGGAGGGCCGAACCGACCCCCGUUGCAAUGGUGGCGGAUGACUUGUGGAUAGCGGAGAAAUUCCAAUCGAACUCGGAGAUAGCUGGUUCUCCUCGAAAUAGCUUUAGGGCUAGCCUUGAGGUAAAGACGUAUGGGGGUAGAGCACUGAAUGAGCUAGGGGCCUAACCAGGUUACUGAACUCUAUCAAACUACGAAUACCAUAUUGUUAUACUCAGGAGUCAGACUGCGGGAGCUAAGUUCCGUGGUCAAAAGGGAAAGAGCCCAGAUCGUCAAUUAAGGUCCCAAAGAUAUAGCUAAGUGGAAAACGAUGUGAUUUUGCGUAAACAACCAGGAUGUUGGCUCAGAAGCAGCCACCCAUUUAAAGAGUGCGUAAUAGCUCACUGGUCGAGUGAAGUUGCGCGGAAAAUUACCGGGGCUAAACUAUACACCGAAAUUGCGGAUUUGCAUAGAAAUAUGUAAGUGGUAGAGGAGCAUUCUAUAGUAGGACGAAGCAUAAUCGAAAGGAUAUGUGGACGAGAUAGAAGAGAGAAUGCCGGAAUAAGUAGCGAAAGCAUGGUGAGAAUCCAUGCCAUCGAAAGUCUAAGGUUUCCUGGGGAAGGUUCGUCCGCCCAGGGUAAGUCGGGACCUAAGGAGAGGCCGAAAAGCGUAUCCGAUGGACAGCAGGUAGAAAUUCCUGCACUGCGAAAUACUUAAAAGAUGCAAAUGACACAAGAGUGGAAGAUGAGCGAGGAAGAGGAAAAACUCGUAUCGAAAGAUAUAGUGAAAAUAAAGUAACGAAUUUCCAAGAAGCACGCUGACGAGAAAAGCUUGUAGAUAUUGUAUAUAAAUACCCGUACCGCAAACCGACACAGGUAGAUGAGGAGAGGAUCCUAAGACGAGCGGGAGAAGCAUUGUUAAGGAACUCGGCAAAUUGACCCCGUAACUUCGGAAUAAGGGGUGCCUAUGUAAAAGUAGGCCGCAGAGAAUAGGCCCAAGCAACUGUUUAACAAAAACACAGGUUUCUGCUAAAUCGAAAGAUGAAGUAUAGGAGCUGACGCCUGCCCAGUGCUGGAAGGUUAAGGGGAAGAGUUAAGACUUGAUCUGAAGCUUAGAACCAAAGCCCCAGUGAACGGCGGCCGUAACUAUAACGGUCCUAAGGUAGCGAAAUUCCUUGUCAGGUAAGUUCUGACCCGCACGAAAGGUGUAAUGAUUUGGGAGCUGUCUCGACAAUGUACUCGGCGAAAUUGUAGUACUAGUGAAGAUGCUAGUUACCUGCGACAAGACAGAAAGACCCCAUGGAGCUUUACUGCAGCUUGAUACUGGGUUUCGGUAAUUUAUGUACAGGAUAGGUGGGAGACUAUGAAGUUAUGGCGUCAGCCGUAAUGGAGUCAUCGUUGGGAUACCACCCUUAAGUUAUUGAAAUUCUAACUUGUGAUCAUGAACUGGUCAGAGGACAAUGUCAGGCGGGCAGUUUGACUGGGGCGGUCGCCUCCUAAAGAGUAACGGAGGCGCCCAAAGGUUUCCUCAGCGCGGACAGAAAUCGCGCGAAAGAGUGCAAAGGCAGAAGGAAGCUUAACUGAGAGACAGACAUGUCGACCAGAUACGAAAGUAGGGCUUAGUGAUCCGGCGGUAGUGAAUGGAAAUGCCGUCGCUCAACGGACAAAAGUUACCCUGGGGAUAACAGGCUUAUCUCCCCCAAGAGUUCACAUCGACGGGGAGGUUUGGCACCUCGAUGUCGGCUCAUCGCAUCCUGGGGCUG
rnacentral:rRNA from 1 species